rnacentral:rRNA from 1 species
GAUGAACGCUGGCGGCGUGCCUAAUACAUGCAAGUCGAGCGAACAGACGAGGAGCUUGCUCCUCUGACGUUAGCGGCGGACGGGUGAGUAACACGUGGAUAACCUACCUAUAAGACUGGGAUAACUUCGGGAAACCGGAGCUAAUACCGGAUAAUAUAUUGAACCGCAUGGUUCAAUAGUGAAAGACGGUUUUGCUGUCACUUAUAGAUGGAUCCGCGCCGCAUUAGCUAGUUGGUAAGGUAACGGCUUACCAAGGCGACGAUGCGUAGCCGACCUGAGAGGGUGAUAGCCCACACUGGAAAUGAGACACGGUCCAGACUCCUACGGGAGGCAGCAGUAGGGAAUCUUCCGCAAUGGGCGAAAGCAUGACGGAGCAACGCCGCGUGAGUGAUGAAGGUCUUCGGAUCGUAAAACUCUGUUAUUAGGGAAGAACAAAUGUGUAAGUAACUAUGCACGUCUUGACGGUACCUAAUCAGAAAGCCACGGCUAACUACGUG